rnacentral:rRNA from 1 species
CUGGCUCAGGAUGAACGCUGGCGGCGUGCUUAACACAUGCAAGUCGAACGAAGCACCUCUAAUCGAAGAUUGAGAAAGCUUGCUUUGAUUGAUUCACCUUGAGGUGACUGAGUGGCGGACGGGUGAGUAACGCGUGGGUAACCUACCCUAUACAGGGGGAUAACAGUUGGAAACGACUGCUAAUACCGCAUAAGCGCACAGGACCGCAUGGUCUAGUGUGAAAAACUCCGGUGGUAUAGGAUGGACCCGCGUCUGAUUAGCUAGUUGGUGAGGUAACGGCUCACCAAGGCGACGAUCAGUAGCCGACCUGAGAGGGUGACCGGCCACAUUGGGACUGAGACACGGCCCAAACUCCUACGGGAGGCAGCAGUGGGGAAUAUUGCACAAUGGGCGAAAGCCUGAUGCAGCGACGCCGCGUGAACGAAGAAGUAUUUCGGUAUGUAAAGUUCUAUCAGCAGGGAAGAAAAAUGACGGUACCUGACUAAGAAGCUCCGGCUAAAUACGUGCCAGCCGCCGC